rnacentral:ncRNA from 2 species
UUAGUACACUAGGGGUGUCCAAAAAUGGGCUGAGAUAGCGCUGUAAGUGCUGAUCCCUUUGAACCUGUAAGUUCAGACUUGCGUAGGGAAAGUGUCACAGCUGAUUA